rnacentral:rRNA from 1 species
CCUACGGGAGGCAGCAGUGAGGAAUAUUGGUCAAUGGACGAGAGUCUGAACCAGCCAAGUAGCGUGAAGGAUGACUGCCCUAUGGGUUGUAAACUUCUUUUAUAUGGGAAUAAAACAGGGUAUGCAUACCCUCUUGUAUGUACCAUAUGAAUAAGGAUCGGCUAACUCCGUGCCAGCAGCAGAGGUAAUCCGGAGGAUCCGAGCGUUAUCCGGAUUUAUUGGGUCUAAAGGGAGCGUAGGUGGAUUGUUAAGUCAGUUGUGAAAGUUUGCGGCUCAACCGUAAAAUUGCAGUUGAAACUGGCAGUCGUGAGUACAGUAGAGGUGGGCGGAAUUCGUGGUGUAGCGGUGAAAUGCUUAGAUAUCACGAAGAACUCCGAUUGCGAAGGCAGCUCACUGGACUGCAACUGACACUGAUGCUCGAAAGUGUGGGUAUCAAACAGGAUUAGAUACCCCAGAAGUC